rnacentral:misc_RNA from 1 species
AAGUCGUAACAAGGUUUCCGUAGGUGAACCUGCGGAAGGAUCAUUCAAAAUAAAAGUGAAAUUUUAUAUGGCACUUUUAAAACAAUCCAUAUUCACCUUGUGUGCAAUGUUUAUAUGGAAAGUUUGGGGUUUUAAUUAAUCCCACAACUUUCUGUUUAACUUAAUUACUCUUAUUAUUUUUUACAAGAAAUCGUCUGAAAAACUAUUAUUGAAUAAAAACUUAAUUCAUAAAUAUAACUUUCAACAACGGAUCUCUUGGCUCUC